CCUACGGGUGGCAGCAGUGGGGAAUAUUGCACAAUGGGGGAAACCCUGAUGCAGCGACGCCGCGUGAGUGAAGAAUUAUCUCGGUACGUAAAGCUCUAUCUGCAGGGAAGAUAAUGACGGUACCUGACCAAGAAGCCACGGCUAACUACGUGCCAGCAGCCGCGGUAAUACGUAGGGGGCAAGCGUUAUCCGGAUUUACUGGGUGUAAAGGGAGCGUAGACGGCAGCACAAGUCUGGAGUGAAAGCCCGGGGCUUAACCCCGGAACUGCUUUGGACACUGUGCGGCUGGAGUGCAGGAGGGGUAAGCGGAAUUCCUAGUGUAGCGGUGAAAUGCUUAGAUAUCACGAAGAACCCCGAUUGCGAAGGCAGCCUGCCGCAGCGUUACUGACGCUGAAGCUCGAAAGCGUGGGUAUCGAACAGGAUUAGAUACCCUAGUAGUC
rnacentral:rRNA from 1 species